rnacentral:tRNA from 1 species
GAAAUUUUAGUUUAAUAAAAAUAUUUCAUUUACAAUGAAGAGAUUUUAUAAUGGAAAAAAUUUCAAUUUAAAAUAAUUUUAAAAUUUUA